UACAGAGGGGGCAAGCGUUGUUCGGAAUUACUGGGCGUAAAGGGCGCGUAGGCGGCCUUCUAAGUCGAACGUGAAUCCCCGGGCUCAACCCGGGAACUGCGUCCGAGACUGGAAGGCUCGAAUCCGGGAGAGGGAUGUGGAAUUCCAGGUGUAGCGGUGAAAUGCGUAGAUAUCUGGAGGAACAUCGGUGGCGAAGGCGGCGAUCCUGGA
rnacentral:rRNA from 1 species